rnacentral:misc_RNA from 1 species
GAAAUGCGAUAACUAGUGUGAAUUGCAGAAUUCAGUGAAUCAUCGAGUCUUUGAACGCAUAUUGCGCCCGUCGGUAUUCCGGCGGGCAUGCCUGUUUGAGUAUCAUGAAAUCUUCAAAGUAAAUCUUUUGUUAACUCAAUUGGUUUCUACUUUGGUAUUGGAGGUCUUUGCAGCUUCACACCUGCUCCUCUUUGUUCAUUAGCUGGAUCUCAGUGUUAUGCUUGGUUCCACUCGGCGUGAUAAGUUAUCUAUCGCUGAGGACACUGUAAAAGGUGGCCAAGGUAAAUGCAGAUGAACCGCUUCUAAUAGUCCAUUGACUUGGACAAUACUUUUAUGAUCUGAUCUCAAAUCAGGUAGGACUACCCGCUGAACUUAAGC